rnacentral:rRNA from 1 species
UACGGGGGGGGCAAGCGUUGUUCGGAAUUACUGGGCGUAAAGGGCUCGUAGGCGGCCAACUAAGUCGGAGGGGAAAUCCCCAGGCUUAACCUGGGAAUUGCAUCCGAUACUGGAUGGCUUGAAUCCGGGAGAGGGAUGCGGAAUUCCAGGUGUAGCGGUGAAAUGCGUAGAUAUCUGGAGGAACACCGGUGGCGAAGGCGGCAUCCUGGACCGGCAUUGACGCUGAGGAGCGAAAGCCAGGGGAGCAAACGGG